rnacentral:rRNA from 1 species
GAACUUAAGCAUAUCAAUAAGCGGAGGAAAAGAAACCAACAGGGAUUGCCCUAGUAACGGCGAGUGAAGCGGCAACAGCUCAAAUUUGAAAUCUGGCGCAAGCCCGAGUUGUAAUUUGUAGAGGAUGUUUCUGGCGACGUGCCUUCCGAGUUCCCUGGAACGGGACGCCAUAGAGGGUGAGAGCCCCGUACGGUUGGAUGCCUAGCCUCUGUGAAACUCCUUCGACGAGUCGAGUAGUUUGGGAAUGCUGCUCUAAAUGGGAGGUAUACGUCUUCUAAAGCUAAAUACCGGCCAGAGACCGAUAGCGCACAAGUAGAGUGAUCGAAAGAUGAAAAGCACUUUGAAAAGAGGGUUAAAAAGUACGUGAAAUUGUUGAAAGGGAAGCGUUCAUGACCAGACUUGGGCAGGUUGAUCAUCCGUGGUUCUCCGCGGUGCACUCUGCCUGCCCAGGCCAGCAUCAGUUCGCCCCGGGGGAUAAAGGCUUCGGGAAUGUGGCUCCUCCGGGAGUGUUAUAGCCCGCUGCGUAAUACCCUGGGGCGGACUGAGGUUCGCGCACUGCAAGGAUGCUGGCGUAAUGGUCAUCAACGACCCGUCUUGAAACACGGACCAAGGAGUCGUCUUCGUAUGCGAGUGUUCGGGUGUCAAACCCCUACGCGUAAUGAAAGUGAACGUAGGAGAGAGCUUCGGCGCAUCUCCGACCGAUCCUGAUGUUCUCGGAUGGAUUUGAGUAAGAGCAUACGGGGCCGGACCCGAAA